rnacentral:rRNA from 1 species
CCUACGGGUGGCUGCAGUGGGGAAUAUUGGACAAUGGGGGCAACCCUGAUCCAGCCAUGCCGCGUGUGUGAAGAAGGCCCUCGGGUUGUAAAGCACUUUCAGUGAGGAAGAACGCCUGGUGGUUAAUACCCAUCAGGAAAGACAUCACUCACAGAAGAAGCACCGGCUAACUCCGUGCCGGCAGCCGCGGUAAUACGGAGGGUGCGAGCGUUAAUCGGAAUUACUGGGCGUAAAGCGCGCGUAGGUGGCUUGAUAAGCCGGUUGUGAAAGCCCCGGGCUCAACCUGGGAACGGCAUCCGGAACUGUCAAGCUAGAGUGCAGGAGAGGAAGGUAGAAUUCCCGGUGUAGCGGUGAAAUGCGUAGAGAUCGGGAGGAAUACCAGUGGCGAAGGCGGCCUUCUGGACUGACACUGACACUGAGGUGCGAAAGCGUGGGUAGCAAACAGGAUUAGAUACCCGAGUAGUC